rfam:Erinaceus europaeus unplaced genomic scaffold scaffold01376, whole genome shotgun sequence
GUGCUCGAUUUGGCAGCACAUAUACUAAAAUUGGAACAAUACAGAGAAGACUAGCAUCGCCCCUGCGCAAGGAAGACAUGCAAAUUUGUGAAGCGUUCCAUAUUUUU